rnacentral:rRNA from 1 species
CAGUAGCCGCGGGAAUACGUAGGGUGCAAGCGUUAAUCGGAAUUACUGGGCGUAAAGCGCGCGUAGGUGGUUUGUUAAGUUGGAUGUGAAAUCCCCGGGCUCAACCUGGGAACUGCAUCCAAAACUGGCAAGCUAGAGUACGGUAGAGGGUGGUGGAAUUUCCUGUGUAGCGGUGAAAUGCGUAGAUAUAGGAAGGAACACCAGUGGCGAAGGCGACCACCUGGACUGAUACUGACACUGAGGUGCGAAAGCGUGGGGAGCAAACAGGAUUAGAUACCCCAGUAGUCCCUGUCUCUUAUAC